rnacentral:tRNA from 1 species
AAAGAGGCAAGCAGCAACAAGGAUUGCUAAUCCUUAGUCCCCGAGGUUAGACCCCG